rnacentral:rRNA from 1 species
UCAAGUCAGCAUGCCCCUUACGCCCUGGGCUACACACGUGCUACAAUGGAUAAGACAAAAAGCAGCGAAUUUGCGAAAAUGUGCUAAUCUCCAAACUUAUCCUUAGUUCAGAUUGUAGGCUGCAACUCGCCUACAUGAAGGUGGAAUCGCUAGUAAUCGCUGGUCAGCUACACAGCGGUGAAUCCGUUCCCGGGCCUUGUACACACCGCCCGUCACACCAUGGAAGUUAGUUAUACCCGAAGUUGUUAUCUUAACCCGUAAGGGAGAGAGACACCUAAGGUAGAAUUAGUGACCGGGGUGAAGUCGUAACAAGGUAACC